CUCCUUCUAGCUAUAUACUUGAGCCAGGAGUCAGCAGCCAAGCAUUUUGUUUUUCUGGGAUCUUUCUUUAAGGAUCUCCAUAGCCAGACACUGGGAGAAAACUGACAUGCUUUGAUUGGAUGCUGACAUUGCAUUAUUUGCAGAAUUUUCAGAGAACACAGUCAACAGGAAUCAUUGAGUGUCACCUGCUGCCUCCUGACUCUCUUUCCCCAAUGUGAGAUGGUGGACUCCUUUUUAAGUCUGACUCUGGAAUGCAUUCGGUGCCACAGCAUUUCCGGAAGUACUUCCAAGAGGGUAGUAUGGAAACCAGGAGGUCCACCCCUAACAAUCUGGGACGCCUCUGGUAACCACUAGUCCAUAAUUCAUAUGAUUCUGGCUGGGAAAGUAGCUGUUUCCUCCUCCAGCCAGUGUGCUAUAUAGUCCUUCCACUCUGGCCUGCUGUCUGGGCAAUAAAUGAUGCCCUGCCCCAUCCAGGACGCCUUUCCUGCCUUUCAAGCACUUAAACAGUAUAUUCUUAAAGAACAAUGUCUGGUUUCACCUCCAUACUGUAAAAUAUAGAUUUGCAUUUUAAAUAAGGCAAGUCUGAGCGGAGCAGCGAGUGGAAGCACAGAGCGGAGCAGCGAGCAGAAGCACAGAGCGGCGGUGUGUUCCACAGGCACGUAGCCCUUCGCAAACAUCCGAGUAAGUUGAACUGAAGUAAAGCCAGCAGCUGACCAGGAGAAAUAUCUCUCAGUGAGAAAUCAAAGUUGAUCGCUCAGUGGGUGGUGGAAACUUAAAGCCGACAGUCUCUUAGUGAUUCAGCUGAACGCGGAAAGCGCCACCGAAGUUAUUACAAAAACAGAGAAGAUGAUAUCAACA